GAUAUUGGAAUCAACCUGACAGAUCCUAUGUUCAGAGGAAUUUAUAGGGGCGUGCAGAAGCAUCAAGAUGACUUACAAGAUGUAAUAGGGAGAGCUGUCCAGAUUGGUGUUAAAAAGUUUAUGAUCACAGGUGGAAGUCUACAAGACAGUAAAGAUGCACUGCGGUUGGCACAAACAAAUGACAUGUUUUUCAGUACAGUGGGGUGUCAUCCCACGAGAUGUGAUGAGUUUGAGAAGGACAGCCCUGACCAGUACUUAGCAGGAUUGCUGCACCUUGCUGAAAACACAAAGGAAAAGUUGUAGCAAUAGGGGAGUGUGGACUUGAUUUUGACCGACUUCAGUUUUGUCCCAAAGAUACUCAACUCAAAUAUUUUGAAAAACAAUUUGAAUUGUCAGAACAAACAAACUGCAUUUCCUACCAAAAAGAAGUGGGAAGCCGGGUGCUGUUUAAAAGACAGGAACGAGCCCUGCCACAUAGUUCAAAUAUUGGAGAUAAUGUCAGCAGUAAGAGAAGAAGAUCCACUGGAAUUAGCCAACACGCUAUAUAACAACACCAUUAAAA
rnacentral:lncRNA from 1 species